AAGUCGUAACAAGGUAACCGUAGGUGAACCUGCGGUUGGAUCAUUAACAAUCCUAGACCCUCGGGUCUUUAACCCCUUGUGCAUCCAUUAUUGUCUCUGGGUACCUUAGUAAUAGGGUGCCCGAAUUUAUAAACCUUACUAUAUGUCUGAAUUUUUAUUAUAUAAAAAAAACAACUUUUGACAACGGAUCUCUUGGCUCUC
rnacentral:misc_RNA from 1 species